rnacentral:rRNA from 1 species
GAUGAACGCUAGCUACAGGCUUAACACAUGCAAGUCGAGGGGAAACGGCAUUGAGUGCUUGCACUCUUUGGACGUCGACCGGCGCACGGGUGAGUAACGCGUAUCCGACCUUCCCAUUACUGUGGGAUAACCUGCCGAAAGGCAGACUAAUACCGCAUAGUCUUCGAUGACGGCAUCAGAUUUGAAGUAAAGAUUUAUCGGUAAUGGAUGGGGAUGCGUCUGAUUAGCUUGUUGGCGGGGUAACGGCCCACCAAGGCGACGAUCAGUAGGGGUUCUGAGAGGAAGGUCCCCCACAUUGGAACUGAGACACGGUCCAAACUCCUACGGGAGGCAGCAGUGAGGAAUAUUGGUCAAUGGACGGAAGUCUGAACCAGCCAAGUAGCGUGCAGGAUGACGGCCCUAUGGGUUGUAAACUGCUUUUGUAUGGGGAUAAAGUUAGGGACGUGUCCCUAUUUGCAGGUACCAUACGAAUAAGGACCGGCUAAUUCCGUGCCAGCAGCCGCGGUAAUACGGAAGGUCCAGGCGUUAUCCGGAUUUAUUGGGUUUAAAGGGAGCGUAGGCUGGAUAUUAAGUGUGUUGUGAAAUGUAGACGCUCAACGUCUGACUUGCAGCGCAUACUGGUUUCCUUGAGUACGCACAACGUUGGCGGAAUUCGUCGUGUAGCGGUGAAAUGCUUAGAUAUGACGAAGAACUCCGAUUGCGAAGGCAGCUGACGGGAGCGCAACUGACGCUUAAGCUCGAAGGUGCGGGUAUCAAACAGG